rnacentral:lncRNA from 1 species
UAUUUUGUAAAGAACACAUUAUUUUAAUCAGUAUGCUUUAACUAAAUGUUUAAUUAUGAUUUUAUAUCCUGUCUUAUAAUGAGGUUUUAAUGCCAAGUUCGGGGUUUCUAUUUACUGUUUAAGUGUUUAACAGAACCGAUUAAUCUCCGGUGAGGACGUUGGUCAGCCUGAAAGUAUAGGUCGUUAAGCUUAGGAGAAGCGUGUUAGACCUUGUUUGGUGGUCCCGUCACUGAGAAAACACUUGCCAGUCUUUAGAGUAAUGCCAUUAAAACUUGUUAAGAUCCCAUAAGCCAUAGAUGUAUUUGCAUAAUUAUA